rnacentral:rRNA from 1 species
GACGAACGCUGGCGGCGUGCUUAACACAUGCAAGUCGAACGGCAAGGCCCUGCUUUUGUGGGGUGCUCGAGUGGCGAACGGGUGAGUAACACGUGAGUAACCUGCCCUUGACUUUGGGAUAACUUCAGGAAACUGGGGCUAAUACCGGAUAGGAGCUCCUGCUGCAUGGUGGGGGUUGGAAAGUUUCGGCGGUUGGGGAUGGACUCGCGGCUUACCAGCUUGUUGGUGGGGUAGUGGCUUACCAAGGCUUGGACGGGUAGCCGGCCUGGGAGGGAGACCGGCAACAGUGGGCCUGAGAUACGGCCCAGACUCCUACGGGAGGCAGCAGUGGGAAAUAUUGCAAAAUGGGCGGAAGCCUGAUGCAGCGACGCUGCGUGCGGGAUGACGGCCUUCGGGUUGAAAAACGCUUUCGCCUGUGACGAAGCGUGAGUGACGGUACUGGGUAAAGAAGCACCGGCUAACUACGUG